UACGAAGGGGGCUAGCGUUGCUCGGAAUCACUGGGCGUAAAGGGUGCGUAGGCGGGUCUUUAAGUCAGGGGUGAAAUCCUGGAGCUCAACUCCAGAACUGCCUUUGAUACUGAGGAUCUUGAGUACGGGAGAGGUGAGUGGAACUGCGAGUGUAGAGGUGAAAUUCGUAGAUAUUCGCAAGAACACCAGUGGCGAAGGCGGCUCACUGGCCCAUAACUGACGCUGAGGCACGAAAGCGUGGGGAGCAAACAGG
rnacentral:rRNA from 1 species